UCGGGGUUUGCUAAAUUACGGAAAAAUGAAUCACACUUCGUACCCCGAAAAUUUAACCACAUAUGUAAAAAUGUCUCAGCUUCGAAACAAGCCAUCAUACAUAUACAAGUUUACGAUAUGGGCUGAGCAACAGAAGAAAACGUUACCAUUACGGCCUAUGGAAUAACAAUUGCGCAUAUUGCCCCAUCUUGUGAGAAAGAAUCCAGAGAUGUCUUAAGCUAAUUUCACCUUGUACACCACAGAAAAUUGUUAAAAUGAUGUUCCAGACAUAUCAUUACUUUUAAAUAUGAGAUGACAAACUAAAGGUUUUAAAAAGUCCUGAAUAACUGAAAUGGACAAAAAUACACAGAUUUAUUCAGAAUGUCAUACCGAUGAAGAUCACCUAAAAAUAUUUGGAAAAAUCAGAACUAUGAAUUUCAAUAUGGGACAAUACCCCUAAUGCGCCUUGAAAUGAGGAACACAAAAGUCACGUGUAAACAAAAAAUCUCUGUGUAGUGAUAUUUGACACAUUUCUAUGAUAAACAAAUAACUGAGCUGAACCAUUAGUGUUAAUUUAGAAAAUAAGGGAACACAGAAUAAAUGUGUAAAAACCAUGGAGCUAUGAAAUGUGUUCAAAGUAUUAAAAUUUCAAAGAACUUAUUGUGUUAAA